rnacentral:misc_RNA from 1 species
AUGAUACAUAUGGUACAUGACCGAUGCAGAACCACUUACAAAGCAAAUUUCGGACAUAAAAUGAACAUGAAAAUCUAGAGGCAUGCAACCAAUCCAUAUUACACAUUACAAAGUUGAAAAUUAAUUUUAUGAUCUUAGCUGCCACACAUUUUAUUUACGAGAGCACUUGUAUGAGGAUUCCAUGGGCUGUAUAAAGCAGCAUGCAAAAGCUCAAGAAGAUGAAGUAGGAUUGGAAGUGGAUGGAUUGAAUGCAAUCUGCUCAGCACAAGUAAGAUACUCAUGGGGCCCUGCCUCUUCUCGACCAACUCCCAUCAAGUCCAAGUAAUAUUGAUAAUGUGAGAUGAUGUCGUUCAUGGCAUCAAUAUCACCCUGGCCACAAACCAUAUCACCAUAGAGAAUAUUCA